rnacentral:tRNA from 2 species
GGGCCCGUAGUAAAGUGGUAUUACGCCACAUUCGCAUUGUGGAGGCAGGGGUUCGAUUCCCCUCGGGUCCA